rnacentral:rRNA from 1 species
GAUGAACGCUAGCUACAGGCUUAACACAUGCAAGUCGAGGGGCAGCACAGUGUAGCAAUACAUGGGUGGCGACCGGCGCACGGGUGCGUAACGCGUAUCCAACCUUCCCGUUACUCUCGGAUAGCCUUCCGAAAGGGAGAUUAAUACGAGAUGGUGUUGAAAUUCCGCAUGUUAUUUCAACUAAAGAUUCAUCGGUAACGGAUGGGGAUGCGUGACAUUAGGUAGAUGGCGGGGUAACGGCCCACCAUGCCUACGAUGUCUAGGGGUUCUGAGAGGAAGGUCCCCCACACUGGAACUGAGACACGGUCCAGACUCCUACGGGAGGCAGCAGUGAGGAAUAUUGGUCAAUGGCCGGAAGGCUGAACCAGCCAAGUAGCGUGAAGGAUGAAGGUUCUAUGGAUUG